CACCGCCCGUCACAUCACGAAAGUAGGUUGUACUAGAAGUAGGAGGGCUAACUCGCAAGAGAGGCAUCUUACCACGGUAUGAUUUAUGAUUGGGGUG
rnacentral:rRNA from 1 species